UGAACGCUGGCGGCGUGCCUAAUACAUGCAAGUCGAGCGAACAGACGAGGAGCUUGCUCCUCUGACGUUAGCGGCGGACGGGUGAGUAACACGUGGAUAACCUACCUAUAAGACUGGGAUAACUUCGGGAAACCGGAGCUAAUACCGGAUAAUAUAUUGAACCGCAUGGUUCAAUAGUGAAAGACGGUUUUGCUGUCACUUAUAGAUGGAUCCGCGCCGCAUUAGCUAGUUGGUAAGGUAACGGCUUACCAAGGCGACGAUGCGUAGCCGACCUGAGAGGGUGAUCGGCCACACUGGAACUGAGACACGGUCCAGACUCCUACGAGAGGCAGCAGUAGGGAAUCUUCCGCAAUGGGCGAAAGCCUGACGGAGCAACGCCGCGUGAGUGAUGAAGGUCUUCGGAUCGUAAAACUCUGUUAUUAGGGAAGAACAAAUGUGUAAGUAACUAUGCACGUCUUGACGGUACCUAAUCAGAAAGCCACGGCUAACUACGUG
rnacentral:rRNA from 1 species